UCCCUGGUAGUAUAUCGGUUAGUACACGCGCCUGUCAUUAUGAAUUUUAUCUGUUGGUUAGCGCGCGAAAGCUGGGUUCGACUCCCAGCCAGGGAG